rnacentral:lncRNA from 1 species
CUGGGGAGAGUGGCUGCCUGUUCUGAGGUUUCUAAUCCAAUCAAGCUUCAUAUCCUGGUUGCUAUCCUUGUUAUCCUGUAGCUUUGUUUCUUUGGGAGAAGAACCCUGUGAUCCUGACGUUAGCCUGAACCUGCACUGUCACAUGGAAAUCUCAUCAUCUACUCCAGUGAUUGGGAAAAUGGAGCUGGACAGGAAUCCAAGAAAAGAACUCAAUCUUUGGAGUAAGGUGUAACAUGUAUAGAAUAGUCAAAAUGCACAAGGACAUCUAUUUUCCAAAAAAAAGCACAAAUCUAUGAUGGCACAAUAACUCAGAUAAAACCCAGGCUGCAUUCUUCAAGGAUUAUUGGUAUGAAACUUUAUUCUUCCUUAUAACCUUGCCCUUCAGGCCUUGAUAAUUUGAAAGCU